rnacentral:rRNA from 1 species
AUUGAACGCUGGCGGCAUGCUCCACACAUGCAAGUCGAACGGUAACAGGUUAAGCUGACGAGUGGCGAACGGGUGAGUAAUGCAUCGGAACGUGCCCGGCCGUGGGGGAUAACGCAGCGAAAGCUGCGCUAAUACCGCAUACGAUCUGCGGAUGAUAGCGGGGGACCGCAAGCCCCCGCGCGAUCGCAGCGGACGCUGUCAGAUUAGGUAGUUGGUGGGGUAAAGGCUCCCCAAGCCAACGGUCUGUAGCUGGUCUGAGAGGACGACCAGCCACACUGGGACUGAGACACGGCCCAGACUCCUACGGGAGGCAGCAGUGGGGAAUUUUGGACAAUGGGCGAAAGCCUGAUCCAGCAAUGCCGCGUGCAGGAAGAAGGCCUUCGGGUUGUAGACUGCUUUUGUACGGAGCGAAAAGGUCUCCUCUAAUACAGGGGGCUCAUGACGGUACCGUAAGAAUAAGCACCGGCUAACUACGUGCCAGCCGCCGCGGUAA